rnacentral:lncRNA from 1 species
AAAUUUCACCAUUGGUCCCUAUAGUUUGAUUAAUUUUUUUUGUGAUUAAUUAUUUGGUGCUCUUAGAUCUGUAUUUGUUGGUCUCUUUUUGGCUGUGACAAUUGUCUUCUUGAGCAGACGAGUGAUCCGACCCGAUUCCUGGCGGGGUGACCCGGUUGGUCUCUAAGAGAUGAGCCCAUUGUUGUUGCAGCCAAGUUGGGAGUCCGAUUCGGGGCUGAUCAAACACAGAUCUGAUCCUAAAUAAAAACUUUUAUUUCAAAUUUUUUAUGAAAAUUUAAUUCUAU